rnacentral:lncRNA from 1 species
UCCAGCCAUCAACCUUCAACAAUGCCAUCCAGACUUCAACAGUGCCAGCCAGACCCCUCCAACGGAUAAAUUUUUUUCAGACCCCUCCAGCGUUCGACCUUCCACAGUGUCCUCCAGACUCCUCCAGCAGACGAACUUCCACAAUGCCUUUUGAAUUUCGUUAUCAGUUGACCUUCUGUCAGAUUCCUCAUGCAAUCGGAUCUCUCCAGCGGACAGUCUUCAGACAAGCUUCUACAUUAGACAAAUUCCAAACGGACUUCUCUAGC